rnacentral:rRNA from 1 species
UACAGAGGGGGCAAGCGUUGUUCGGAUUUACUGGGCGUAAAGGGCGCGUAGGCGGCGUGACAAGUCACUUGUGAAAUCUCCGGGCUUAACUCGGAACGGCCAAGUGAAACUGUCAUGCUAGAGUGCAGAAGGGGCAAUCGGAAUUCUUGGUGUAGCGGUGAAAUGCGUAGAUAUCAAGAGGAACACCUGAGGUGAAGACGGGUUGCUGGGCUGACACUGACGCUGAGGCGCGAAAGCCAGGGGAGCAAACGGG